UCCGUAGGUGGAUCAAUAAGUCAGAGGUGAAAUCCUGCAGCUUAACUGUAGAACUGCCUUUGAAACUGUUGAUCUUGAGUCAUUAUGAAGUGGUUAGAAUGUGUAGUGUAGCGGUGAAAUGCAUAGAUAUUACACAGAAUACCGAUUGCGAAGGCAGAUCACUAAUAAUGUACUGACACUGAGGGACGAAAGCGUGGGGAGCGAACAGGAUUAGAUACCCUGGUAGUCC
rnacentral:rRNA from 1 species